rnacentral:rRNA from 1 species
GUGGGGAAUAUUGGACAAUGGGCGCAAGCCUGAUCCAGCCAUGCCGCGUGAGUGAUGAAGGCCUUAGGGUUGUAAAGCUCUUUCAGUGGGGACGAUAAUGACGGUACCCACAGAAGAAGCCCCGGCUAACUUCGUGCCAGCAGCCGCGGUAAUACGAAGGGGGCUAGCGUUGUUCGGAAUUACUGGGCGUAAAGCGCACGUAGGCGGGUAUUUAAGUCAGGGGUGAAAUCCCGGAGCUCAACUCCGGAACUGCCUUUGAUACUGGGUACCUAGAGUAUGGAAGAGGUAAGUGGAAUUCCGAGUGUAGAGGUGAAAUUCGUAGAUAUUCGGAGGAACACCAGUGGCGAAGGCGGCUUACUGGUCCAUUACUGACGCUGAGGUGCGAAAGCGUGGGGAGCAAACAGGAUUAGAAACCCGGGUAGUCC